UACUAAUAGUUACAGUUACAGCUUGGAACC
rnacentral:piRNA from 1 species